GUGGGGAAUCUUCCACAAUGGACGAAAGUCUGAUGGAGCAACGCCGCGUGAGUGAAGAAGGGUUUCGGCUCGUAAAGCUCUGUUGUCGGGGACGAAUGUGCAGUAUUUGAAUAAAGUAGUGCAAUGACGGUACCUGACGAGGAAGCCACGGCUAACUACGUGCCAGCAGCCGCGAUAAUACGUAGGUGGCAAGCGUUGUCCGGAAGUAUUGGGCGUAAAGGGAGCGCAGGCGGGAAGGUAAGUCGGUCUUAAAAGUGCGGGGCUCAACCCCGUGAUGGGAUCGAAACUAUCUUUCUUGAGUGCAGGAGAGGAAAGUGGAAUUCCUAGUGUAGCGGUGAGAUGCGUAGAUAUUAGGAGGAACACCAGUAGCGAAGGCGACUUUCUGGACUGUAACUGACGCUGAGGCUCGAAAGCCAGGGGAGCGAACGGGAUUAGAAACCCGGGUAGUCC
rnacentral:rRNA from 1 species